GGCGGUAUGCUUAACACAUGCAAGUCGAACGGAAUCUUUCGGGAUUUAGUGGCGGACGGGUGAGUAACGCGUGAGAAUCUGGCUUCAGGUCUGGGACAACCACUGGAAACGGUGGCUAAUACCGGAUGUGCCCUUAGGGGUGAAAGAUUAAUUGCCUGAAGAUGAGCUCGCGUCUGAUUAGCUAGUUGGAAGUGUAAUGGACUCCCAAGGCGACGAUCAGUAGCUGGUCUGAGAGGACGAUCAGCCACACUGGGACUGAGACACGGCCCAGACUCCUACGGGAGGCAGCAGUGGGGAAUUUUCCGCAAUGGGCGAAAGCCUGACGGAGCAAUACCGCGUGAGGGAGGAAGGCUCUUGGGUCGUAAACCUCUUUUCUCAGGGAAGAACACAAUGACGGUACCUGAGGAAUAAGCAUCGGCUAACUCCGUGCCAGCAGCCGCGGUAAUACGGAGGAUGCAAGCGUUAUCCGGAAUGAUUGGGCGUAAAGCGUCCGCAGGUGGCAAUGUAAGUCUGCUGUUAAAGAGUCUAGCUCAACUAGAUACAAGCAGUGGAAACUACAUAGCUAGAGUACGUUCGGGGCAGAGGGAAUUCCUGGUGUAGCGGUGAAAUGCGUAGAGAUCAGGAAGAACACCAGUGGCGAAGGCGCUCUGCUAGGCCGUAACUGACACUGAGGGACGAAAGCUAGGGGAGCGAAUGGGAUUAGAUAC
rnacentral:rRNA from 1 species